rnacentral:tRNA from 1 species
GCCGGGGUGGCCGAGCGGCCCAAGGCGCGGGACUCGAGGCCAGGGGGACGCGUGACAUCCCGUCCCCGCGAGGGGGCGUGGGUUCAAAUCCCACCCCCGGCG